rnacentral:lncRNA from 1 species
AUGAACAUGUUUUAAGGGCCCCAUGGGAAAAUUAAAUGUAAAAGCAACUUGUCAAUGUCAAAACACUGCACAAACAUCUCAGAGAAUAGGACAUGGCUAACCAUCACAAUGACCUCUGGGACCCCACCAGAAUCCAAGCCCUGCUUGUCUGCAUCCUGAUCCUGAAGCUUAGAAGAGCUUUCUACAGGGCAGAGUCUCAAAGACACAUAGAAAAAUAACAGUGUUCUGGAAGG